rnacentral:rRNA from 1 species
GAUGAACGCUGGCGGCGUGCCUAAUACAUGCAAGUCGAGCGAACAGAUAAGGAGCUUGCUCCUUUGAAGUUAGCGGCGGACGGGUGAGUAACACGUGGGUAACCUACCUAUAAGACUGGGAUAACUUCGGGAAACCGGAGCUAAUCCCGGAUAACAUUUAGAACCGCAUGGUUCUAAAGUGAAAGACGGUUUUGCUGUCACUUAUAGAUGGACCCGCGCCGUAUUAGCUAGUUGGUAAGGUAACAGCUUACCAAGGCGACGAUACGUAGCCGACCUGAGAGGGUGAUCGGCCACACUGGAACUGAGACACGGUCAAGACUCCUAAGGGAGGCAGCAGUAGGGAAUCUUCCGCAAUGGGCGAAAGCCUGACGGAGCAACGCCGCGUGAGUGAUGAAGGGGUUCGGCUCGUAAAACUCUGUUAUUAGGGAAGAACAAAUGUGUAAGUAACUGUGCACAGCUUGACGGUACCUAAUCAGAAAGCCACGGCUAACUACGUG